AUGGCGGCGAUGGCGACUUGCGGGACAAAGGAAGGAUUGCAAGACCAUCGUUCUGGAGGAUGGGUGAGACUUUAUGCAGAGGGGCUUCAACAUGCUCAUCAACAUCCUCGAGGGCCAGAGCCCGAGCACAACUCCGAAGACUACAUGAUGCAGCUGACCACCAUGUUAUACAACAUGUGCACGCAGAAUCCUACCCAUGACUACUCGCAGCAGCUCUACGACAAGUACGGUCAGUCCUUGAGGACUACAUCCAGGCCACCAUUAGCUCCUAUUUUGUGUGUGUGUGUGCCGGUGUUGUUGGUUUUCCGGUCCAACGAGUCAAGGCUAAGGAAAACAAGAUCAGAAUUUCUGCUACUACACUUCCUUGGUAUUGGCGCUUGGGGGUCCACAGCUGCAGAGAAACUGAUAGUUGGAGUUAGGGGAUAUGGAUAUAUCAGCCACAUCGGGUGA
rnacentral:rRNA from 1 species